GAGUUUGAUCAUGGCUCAGAUUGAACGCUGGCGGCAGGCCUAACACAUGCAAGUCGAACGGUAACAGGAAGAAGCUUGCUUCUUUGCUGACGAGUGGCGGACGGGUGAGUAAUGUCUGGGAAACUGCCUGAUGGAGGGGGAUAACUACUGGAAACGGUAGCUAAUACCGCAUAACGUCGCAAGACCAAAGAGGGGGACCUUCGGGCCUCUUGCCAUCGGAUGUGCCCAGAUGGGAUUAGCUAGUAGGUGGGGUAACGGCUCACCUAGGCGACGAUCCCUAGCUGGUCUGAGAGGAUGACCAGCCACACUGGAACUGAGACACGGUCCAGACUCCUACGGGAGGCAGCAGUGGGGAAUAUUGCACAAUGGGCGCAAGCCUGAUGCAGCCAUGCCGCGUGUAUGAAGAAGGCCUUCGGGUUGUAAAGUACUUUCAGCGGGGAGGAAGGGAGUAAAGUUAAUACCUUUGCUCAUUGACGUUACCCGCAGAAGAAGCACCGGCUAACUCCGUGCCAGCAGCCGCGGUAAUACGGAGGGUGCAAGCGUUAAUCGGAAUUACUGGGCGUAAAGCGCACGCAGGCGGUUUGUUAAGUCAGAUGUGAAAUCCCCGGGCUCAACCUGGGAACUGCAUCUGAUACUGGCAAGCUUGAGUCUCGUAGAGGGGGGUAGAAUUCCAGGUGUAGCGGUGAAAUGCGUAGAGAUCUGGAGGAAUACCGGUGGCGAAGGCGGCCCCCUGGACGAAGACUGACGCUCAGGUGCGAAAGCGUGGGGAGCAAACAGGAUUAGAUACUCUGGUAGUCCACGCCGUAAACGAUGUCGACUUGGAGGUUGUGCCCUUGAGGCGUGGCUUCCGGAGCUAACGCGUUAAGUCGACCGCCUGGGGAGUACGGCCGCAAGGUUAAAACUCAAAUGAAUUGACGGGGGCCCGCACAAGCGGUGGAGCAUGUGGUUUAAUUCGAUGCAACGCGAAGAACCUUACCUGGUCUUGACAUCCACGGAAGUUUUCAGAGAUGAGAAUGUGCCUUCGGGAACCGUGAGACAGGUGUUGCAUGGCUGUCGUCAGCUCGUGUUGUGAAAUGUUGGGUUAAGUCCCGCAACGAGCGCAACCCUUAUCCUUUGUUGCCAGCGGUCCGGCCGGGAACUCAAAGGAGACUGCCAGUGAUAAACUGGAGGAAGGUGGGGAUGACGUCAAGUCAUCAUGGCCCUUACGACCAGGGCUACACACGUGCUACAAUGGCGCAUACAAAGAGAAGCGACCUCGCGAGAGCAAGCGGACCUCAUAAAGUGCGUCGUAGUCCGGAUUGGAGUCUGCAACUCGACUCCAUGAAGUCGGAAUCGCUAGUAAUCGUGGAUCAGAAUGCCACGGUGAAUACGUUCCCGGGCCUUGUACACACCGCCCGUCACACCAUGGGAGUGGGUUGCAAAAGAAGUAGGUAGCUUAACCUUCGGGAGGGCGCUUACCACUUUGUGAUUCAUGACUGGGGUGAAGUCGAAACAAGGUA
rnacentral:rRNA from 1 species